CAGAUAAGGAAGCUGAGGCACUGAGAGGAGAAGUAACAAGCUCAAGGUCUCAAAGCAAUGGGACCGUUCUUACAAGAUGGAAGGUCAGACUUCUGGAAGAGCAGUUCCCUUCUGCAGUGCUGCUUCUCUGUCUCACAUGGAAGAAAUGCGUAUUUGUCUCCAUCAAUCCUCAAGCACUUGCCAAAAUCCAGCCAUGUAGGUUGUGGGAGCAGCUGCAACUGGAGAAGGAUGUGGAUACGAGGAGGAAAGGGGGGAUUUUAAAGAAGUUUGCUGUGGUCUACAGGGGGUCUGGAAAUGCACACGAAGAACAGGACUUAUUCUGAAAUAUCUUUUAGUGGCUACACUUAUUCUUUAGCCGCCCUACACUGAAACGACACGGUGAGCUACAGAUUUUUGAUCAUUGUGUUCAACAUCUUUAUCGUUAAAAAUAAAAAAAAAAAACAACAAAAAGGAGAAUGUCUGUUCUCCAUGAGGAAUUGCAGUAAAGGAUGACACAUAUUUUCCCUCUUCAAUUUUCUCCAGGAAAUAAGUCAUUGUAUCUGAGAAUGGUAGCCUGAGAAUACAAGUCUAUUUUUAUGUAUGAUUAUGUCAUCUGCAAACAGCUUUUGAAAGAAACACCCAGGGUAAUUUAUCAAGGAAACAGCUUUUGACUCUAUCCUUUUCCCUGGGGUUUAUGAAACUUCAGCAGGUGGCAUUUUGGUAUUUAGCAUGACAAGCUUGUGAAAUUGCAACAGCUAGCAAAUGGAGGAGCAAGUUGAUUUUGCUUCUUCAUAGAUGAAAGAAGUUAUUUCUUAGGGUUUUUGAAUGUCCUAGGUCCUGGGGUAGGUGCUUUCACUUACAUCCAGUUUCACACACGUGUAAUUUAAUUGUCACAGCAUUCAUUUAUUCAUGUAUUCAUUCAGCUAAUAUUUAUCACAUGCCUACCAAUAAGCAGACACUAGGUAAAGUGCUGGGCUUUCAAGGUGAGCACACAGAGCUGGUGAGGAAAACAGACACAUGGGUAUCUACUUAAAUGUGUCAUCCUGUAAAUGUAUUGGGUGUUUGACAACAAAUAGGAGCACCUCACCUUAUAGUAAUGACCGCUCCCUUAAGAUAUUAUAGUUGAGAAAAUUGGGGCUUAGUGUCAUUAAAAUGAUUGUGCUAACUAGUAAUGAGUAGUGAGGGCGGGAUCCACUGCCAUUGGUGUGAUUUCACAUCAUCUCUCAGAGGGUCCCCAAGGAGUCAUUGAAAAUACUGUGUUUUCUAACUCUCUUCCUUGUGCUCACAAACAUCGUGCCUCUUCUCCCCCUGUUUCUGAAGUGUGAUCACAUCUCAUUUAUCUUGUGCAUUCUCCUCUCUAGUUCUGCGAUCCUACUUCACUCUUCUCCUAAUUUCAUCUUUGGGUCUGAAGAUACAGUAAUGAUAAUCGAAGUAGCAUAAAUAACCCUAAACACAGAACAAAGAGAGAGGAACCCCUUUUGAUUGAUCUUCAGCUACUCUUACCUGCCUGUAAGCUCCAGCAGUGGAAAAACUUGGCUUCUAAACCUCCUUCCAUUAGGUUUUAAGGCAGAAGCCAUAGUGGUUCACUGUUAACAAUAUUCCCUACUCAUUUAAGUGGUGUGAUAAGGGGAUACAGAGCAGGGGGUCUUCAGAUUUUUCUGUAAUGAGCCAGUAACAAAUAUAUUAGGCUUUAUGGAUCUUAUGGCCUCUGUCAUAAUUAUUCUAUUCUGAGGUUGCAUCCCAAAAGCCACCAGAGACAAUUCCUGAACAGAGGGGUGUGGCU